AUGGGAUGGAGCUGGAUCAUUCUUUUCCUCAUGUCAGUAACUACAGGUGUCCACUCCCAGGUCCAGUUGCAGCAGUCUGGUUCUGAGCUGGUGAAACCUGGGUCCUCAGUGAAGUUUUCCUGCAAGGCUUCUGGCUACACCUUCACUAAUGAAUUUAUGCACUGGGUAAAGCAGAGGCCUGGACAGAGUCUGGAGUGGAUUGGAUGGAUUUAUCCUGGAAAUGGUAAUACUCAGUACCAUCAGAAGUUCAAGGACAAGGCCAAACUGACUGCAGACACAUCCUCCAGCACAGCCUACAUGGAGCUCAUUAACCUGACCUCUGAGGACUCUGCUGUCUAUUACUGUGCAAGAUAA